rnacentral:rRNA from 1 species
AACGAACGCUGGCGGCAGGCCUAAUACAUGCAAGUCGAACGGAUGUAGCAAUACAUUAGUGGCGCACGGGUGCCUAACGCGUGGGAACAUACCCUUGAGUAAGGAAUAAUGUCUGGAAACGGACACUAAUACCUUAUAAUGACUUCGGUCCAAAGAUUUAUCGCUCAAGGAUUGGCCCGCGUCUGAUUAGCUAGUUGGUGAGGUAACGGCUCACCAAGGCGACGAUCAGUAGCUGGUCUGAGAGGAUGAUCAGCCACACUGGGACUGAGACACGGCCCAGACUCCUACGGGAGGCAGCAGUAAGGAAUAUUGGACAAUGGGGGAAACCCUGAUCCAGCCAUGCCGCGUGAGUGAAGAAGGCCUUAGGGUUGUAAAGCUCUUUCAAUAGUGAAGAUAAUGACGGUAGCUAUAGAAGAAGCCCCGGCUAAAUUCGUGCCAGCAGCCGCCGUAA